AAUAAGUUGCCUGAAUAAAAGGGUUAUUUUGAUAGAAUAAAUUAUAUGAUAAAAUCAUACUUAUU
rnacentral:tRNA from 1 species